rnacentral:lncRNA from 1 species
GAAUGGGAGAAAUCUUGAAAGAAGAUUCUUUAAGCAACCCUAACUCUCCUGAACCAGCGAGUUGCUUUUCUAGCUCCCGUGACCCUUAUAGAACACCCGAGAGGCCUUUGCUUUUGUCCCGUGUAAGGCAUUCUGUAGCCGAUGACAUGAACAAAGCCGAUGGGACAGAGACUGGUUUAGAUUUUUUGUUUGCAGAUGCUAAGGAAAGUUCUGUGAAUACAACUCCAAGUAGAAGCAGUAGAUUGUGGUGUUUGAGUAAAGUGCCUUCUGAUACUUCUUCUUGAUUUAGAGGGUCUUCGUAGUUUGAUGCGUGCCACCUGAAGCUUCUCCUUUACAUGGCUUCAUAAUAUACAAUAUCUAGAUCCCUUCGUAUUAUUCAUCAAGAAUUUUAUAGCAAAAUGGCUUCCUAGCCUUCUAAAAUAAUCCACGGUAUAGUCGAUCUUCUUUUAAUGUAGUAAGCAUAACUGGUCACCAAAUAUAUAUUCUUAGUAUCGGAUUACGCAAAUGAAUCCAACCCAAAAAAGCUCGUUAGUGUUGGGAUGGUAGAAGAAGUGAAGCGUAGUUUAAAUAGAACUCUAGGAAGCCAUGUCACAUAUUUUUUUAGUAUGUGCAAGUACAUAGAUCAAACGGAUCGUGAUUACCAAAAAAAGUUCUUGUGAAAAAACAAAUAUUCAUAUAAUUAGAUAUGGACCUUAUUUAAGAUAUCUAUAGUUAAAACUUUUGAACAUGACUUAUAAGGCUAUAAGUAGUUUAAGACAUCCCUAACUAGACAUAUAAAUAAACAUGAAAAUUAGUGUUUUUAUGGUACAUGGAAGUAUUUAAAGAGAGAGGAAAUUAAGCUAUGAUUGGAUUGAAUUAUUUACCAUACUCUCAUGUAAUAGCUUCUACUAUAUCGUAUCUUUGUAACCAUUUAAAAACCCCCACUAAAUACGCUAUUUAUUUUAGAGUUUAAAAAUGUAAUUAGUAAGAAGAGAUAAUAUAACUAACAAUGUGCAUUAUUGUUUUUUUUUUUUUUUUGGAUAUUGCAAGACCUCUAUUGAAGUAUCUUAUUUUUUGGAUUCUCCCCCAUUAUACUUAUAAUUAAAAAAAAGUAUGAAAGAGAAAGAAGAGAAAGGUUCUUAAAUAAGAACUUUAGGUAUACUAACUAGAAUCUCUAUUUACACUUGUCUCUUUCUAAUUGGUUCAUUAUUUGUUUUUAAAACUAAAAAUUAUAUAUUUAUAAUUAAACUAUAUUUAAAGGUUAAUACUUUAAAGUUGAGAUACUCUUUUUGGGUAUGUAAAACCAUUGGAGGUUCUCUAAACCUAUUGUAAAAUCUUUAAUUUCACUAUUUACAGCUCAUAAUUAGCUGGCAGUGCAGUAGAUAUUUUAACCAAAUAUAGAAAAAUGAUUCUCCAAAAGGUAUAAUAUAUGUAUGAGUUCACAAAUUAUCUAUAAAAUAACAGUCAUAUUAAUGUAUAAGUAAAAAGAGGGAAAAAUCCAUACAUUAAUGUAUGAAACGGUUAUUUUACCCAAAUUUCCUUUUAAUCGAAUUCAACUUAUUGACUAAACGAAAUUAGAUGGACCUUCCGGCCAAAACAUAUGUUUUUUAAUAUAUUUAUUAAAACUUUUAUUCAUAUAACUAAAUCUGUGAUUUUACAUAAAAUGUUUUCUCUUAUACUCUACUAUUAUAUUCAUAUAUAUAUACACUAAAUGUAAUAUAUAGUUUAAUGGUAUUUUAUUAUCUUAUUUUAUUAGUUUACAAACUUUUUUCUUUGUAUGUUUCCCUUUAAUGUAUAUAGGUAUUUUAAAGAUUUUCUUAGAAUACACGUUUUAAAUAUUUCGUGAGAUCCCCGUUACAUUGUUUUCAAAAAAUUUCGCGGGUUCUAAAUAUUCCUUGAGACUCACGUUACAUUCUAUUCAAAAAUUUUACUAUAAAUAAACAAUUUCUUUGAGCUUUUAUAUUUUUAUGAUUUCACAUGUAAAUUGAAGAUGUAAUAUUUAAAAAGAAAAAAAAAACACUUCAAAAUAUUAUUAAAUUUCAUUGUUUAUAAACAAAGCUUGAAAUUACUCUUAAAAGAAAAGUGAGAGUAAUAUAUAGGAAGAUAAACUAUUCUUAGUAAAAAGAAAAGAAAAUCUAUUCUUAGUCAUAGCUAUAAUUAGUGGCCUUGUCAGUUAAUAAGACAGUAAACAAAAAAUUAAUGUUGUAAUUUCGAAUUAAUGAGUCCAGCAACAUGAUAAGCCACAUACUGAGUAAAAAUCACCAUUCUCUUUGCUAUAUAAACAGCCUUGGGCAAAGAAACUAAACAAGCACACACCAAAGAAAAGAAAAACAAAGAAAAUGAGGUCGAAACUUAAGUUAUCAUUCAUAGCUAACAACAACAUAAGGAGAACCACAUUCAAGAAGAGGAAGGGAGGGAUAACGAAGAAACUCCAUGAGCUGACAACUCUCUGCGACGUCAAAGCAUGUGCGGUAAUUUACAGUCCGUACGAGAAUCCAACGGUGUGGCCGUCAACCGAAGGUGUUCAAGAGGCGGUUUCGGAGUUUAUGGAGAGGCCGGUGACAGAACAAUCCAAGCUGAUGGUGAAUCAUGAGACCUUCUUGCAGGGCAGAAUUACCAAAGAAACAAAGAAACUGGAGCGUCUACGUCGUGAAAACCGAGAAUCUCAGCUUAAACAAUUUAUGUUUGAUUGUCUUGAAGGCAAGAUGAGUGAGCAUCAAUAUGAUGCAAGGGACUUUCAAGAUUUAAGUUCUCAUAUUGAUCACUAUAUCAAUAAGCUUAAGUCCAGGCUCCAGUUACUUACAGAAAAUGGUGAGUCUUCUUCUUCCUUUCCUCCUCCGCUUCAUACUCAAGUUGCGGGUGCGGCUCCUCUUGCUAUUGUGGGUGCAGGUAUUCCUAUGAAUCAGAAUCAAUAUGAGCCAGUUCAGCCCUAUAUCCCUACUGGUUUAAGUGAUCAUAUUCAAUAUCAGAAUAUGAAUUUGAUGAAUCAAAAUCAACAAGAGCCGGUUCAAUACCAAGCUCUUGUUGAUUUUAAUAACCCGAUUCAACAUGGAAUCUAUGAUAUGAAUUUGAAUCAGAAUAUGAGUUUGGAUCCAAAUCAAUAUCCGUUUCAACAUGACCCAUUCAUGAAUAUGUUGAUGGAAUAUCCUCAUCAGCAAGUGGGUGGUUAUGUUGGAGAUCAUACACACAUCCCUUUCAUGGACGGAAACUACAACUACCACCAAAUACCAAAUGUUGGUUUUACUACCACCGCUCACAUGCCUUCCACCACCAUCACCACCACCACCACCGUCACCACCACCACCGAUGUUUCUGCUCCUUACAUCAAUAAUCAUCUUUAAUCAAAAGAUGUAGACUUUUAAGUGAUGUGUUUCUGUGGUUUGCAUUUGUGUUUGUUCAUUUCAAAAGACUAAUAUUUAAUUAUGUCUUUUCUUUUUAAUUAAUUGUUGUAAGAUUUAAAGGUUUUACCUUUAAGUCAGUUCUAUUUUUAUGUAUUAUGUAAUGUAUUUAUGCGCCGUAGAGCCAGAAAUUUCAAUUAUAUUUGAAGAAGUUUGAUCACAAAUUUUUUUACUAGUUUUUUGUUCGUAAUACAUAACUAAAUUGAUCUGCCAAUACCCUCCGUACCCUUGAAGCCAAUACUUAUAUGAUAAAAUUCAACAUAAAAAGUAGAAUAAAAAUUAGUAACAGAAUAUUUUGUGAUUUUUUAAUGUUUGAUAUAUUAUUUGCAAAAGAUCAAUAUAUAAUAUGCACAACCAUUUUCAGAUUUAUUAGCCUAUAAUGUUUAAUAUUGGUGGCUCUUCAACUCUGAUUUAUUGGUCAUAUAUAUCUCUUUUUCAAUCCAUAGCUAUCUUUCCAUAAAUUUUCAUAUUUUCUCCCUUACACCUAACACCUUACCUUUUGCCACCCUCUCAUGUGUAUAUAAGCACACUAUUUUCUCAUGUUCUCUUCGAUCCCCCAACAACAAAUCCUCAUAUUUUCUCUUAAACCUUUAUUUAAUUCCUCUAUAAAUUGAUAUUUUUCUGUGAAAGUUAGGAUACUCUUUAUUGGUGUAUUGUUUUCAUCGUUGUCUCAGUUAUUUUUUUUAGAUCGAGCUUAAAUACUUUAGUGUUAUUUAAUACUAAAAAAACUUUAGAUUUUGUGUAUUAGAUCUGAAUACUUUUCAACUCUUUAAAUAAAUAAUUGUUAUGCAUAGACUAGAGUUCUUGUUUUUCUCAUCUUUUUUUUUUGUCUGAAACUGGUUGCAAUGAGUCACUCUUGAACUGAGCAGAAGCACUUAGAAAUCAGAUCAAAUCCAAACACCCUAAUCUUCCUCACUCGUUUCUUGAUGCCACAAAGAUCCAAUAUGGCAAGGUAAACAUAAACAUAACUAAUCACAUCUUUCUUAGUCCCAUGGUCUGAAACAUCUUUCUUCUCUAUUUUCAGGACAUUGGUCAUGCGGUUCUUGAGACAUAUUCCCGAACACUUGCGAAUCUAGCUUUCCGGAUUCUUUCAAGAAUGGGAGAAAUCUUGAAAGAAGAUUCUUUAAGCAACCCUAACUCUCCUGCACCACCGAGUUGCUUCCCUAGCUCCCGUGACCCUUAUAGAACACCCGAGAGGCCUUUGCUUUCGUCCCGUGUAAGGCAUUCUUUAACCGAUGACAUGAACAAAGCCGAUGGGACAGAGACUGGUUUAGAUUUUUUGUUUGCAGAUGCUAAGGCAAGGUCAGUGAAUACAACUCCAAGUAGAAGCAGUAGACUGUGGUGUUUGAGUAAAGUGCCUUCUGAUACUUCUUCUUGAUUUAGAGGGUCUUCGUAGUUUGAUGCGUGCCACCUGAAGCUUCUCCUUUACUUUGAGGGUUUUAAAUUAUGAAGCCUAAGAUAUUGUAAAUGUAUUAUUAACAUGGCUUCAU